rnacentral:rRNA from 1 species
UACGUAGGGUGCGAGCGUUGUCCGGAAUUAUUGGGCGUAAAGAGCUCGUAGGCGGUUUGUUGCGUCGGCUGUGAAAUCCCGAGGCUCAACCUCGGGUCUGCAGUCGAUACGAGCAAACUAGAGUGUUGCAGGGGAGACUGGAAUUCCUGGUGUAGCGGUGAAAUGCGCAGAUAUCAGGAGGAACACCGGUGGCGAAGGCGGGUCUCUGGGCAACAACUGACGCUGAGGAGCGAAAGCGUGGGGAGCAAACAGG